rnacentral:rRNA from 1 species
GACUUGCUCCCCUUACGGGGAGGUGGCACGACAGUAAAUAAAGCCGCCGCUUGCAAGUCAAUUACGAUUGGCAACACAAUCGAAUUGCGGGGACUUCCUCAAGCCUACAGCACCAACCGCCCGGGGAAACUCGGUCGGGGCCCUCUCGAGGGAUGGUUAUAGCCUGUAGGAUACGUGGAAGAUCCGCAGCGCGUUCCCUAACGGCGAGAGCCUACGGGAGCCGUUCACAGACUAAGUGAUUGUGGGCCCGGCAGCUAGCCAGGUCUAAGAUAUAGUCGGUCAUGGCCCGAAAGGACCGUGAAUUCUGCGUCCGUAGGUGAACCUGCGGAAGGAUCAUUAAAAAACACAGCGGGUCCUCUUUGAAAUAUUAACGGGAUGUCUGAACCCUUGAAUACAAACCUUUAGUUGCUUUGGCGGGCUGCCUCCGGGCGUCGGCCUCGGCUGAUUGUGCCCGCCAGAGGACAAAAACUCUUAUGUUUAGUGGAGUCUGAGUACUAUAUAAUAGUUAAAACUUUCAACAACGGAUCUCUUGGUUCUGGCAUCGAUGAAGAACGCAGCGAAAUGCGAUAAGUAAUGUGAAUUGCAGAAUUCAGUGAAAUCAUCGAAUCUUUGAACGCACAUUGCGCCCCUUGGUAUUCCGAGGGGCAUGCCUGUUCGAGCGUCAUAUAAACACAUCCCUUACGGGGUCUUGGGAUCCGCCUCUAGGCGGUCCUUAAAAUCAGUGGCGGUGCCGUCUGGCUCUAAGCGUAGUAAUUAUCCUCGCUAUAGAUUUCAGGUGGUUGCUUGCCAAUAACCCCUAAUUUUCAACGUUUGACCUCGGAUCAGGUAGGGAUACCC